GUUCUUUGAUGAGUAUAUCAAACAUUUAUUAAUGCCAUGAAUUGUUGUUUCUGACGUAAUGUGGUCUUAAGAAGGUUAAAUCAUUGAACAAUAGAAAUGAAAAGUGUCUAAUUAAGAAGAUUUAAAGCUUGAUACAAUACGCUAGCUCACAGUUGUGGUAUGGUGAAGUUUUCUGCCGUGUUUUAAGACAGGUAGCCUUAGACGCACUGCCACUGCAGCAAAUCAAAGACUUGUUAGAUUUAUUAUUCACAAAAGUAGUUUGACGAGUUGGUGUGUUUUAUUUGUUUCUUCUUCUACAUUUCUAUUAAUACAUGGACAGGAGAAGGGUUCAAAAAUCUCAUCAGCCAGGCACCUCGAGCCUUCAAGUGCAGGGUCUCGGUGAAAACAUUCAACCCAGAAUUAAUCUUUAUCUGCGUGAGAAACAGAAGCAUGUGACAGAUCGACACAGUUGAAAGGUGACGGAAAACCAAGAGCUCAUGGGCAGAUUAAUCAAGGUGACAUGAUUUAUUCAGGAGCCAGUUUGUCAUGGCGAUGGAGAGCCCAGCAGGCCUACCCCAGCAUAUUUUACACAGGAUUUGUCACAACACACUUCACAGAGUGCCCUGGUCUAAACCUCCACAGAGCGAGCCAGAGGUAACAGUGGUGGGAAACACUCCCUGGAAAAUGUGUAGGAGGAAACCUGGGAAGGAACCAGACUGAUCCGGGGGAGCCCUGUCCUCCUCUGGCCGGCUCAGGGUGGGGUUCACUGGGGCAGGCAGUUUGGGACGGGCUGCAUUAAGCAGUCGGGCCAGGGCUGGGGUGGCAGGCUGAAAUGGGGGACAAACGGGGGCGAUGUUUCGAGAGCGGGGACCGGGAGAAGCUCAGAGCCUCAGCAGUUUUACUUGGUUUCAUUUUGAGACUGGCACACACAGCUGAAACAGACAAUGCCUUUUGUCUGCAUGAGAAGUGAUGAGUUCAGAAAUGAGAUAUCAGACAAGAAUGAACUUAGAUGGGAUGAGAAUUAAAUGAGAUUGAGAUGAGAAUUGGAUAUCAUACAUCAAAUAAAAGCAUAACCUAUGAAAUGUUCAGCUUACAAACCAGUUGCAU